rnacentral:rRNA from 1 species
GCCUACGGGGCGCAGCAGUGAGGAAUAUUGGUCAAUGGGCGGGAGCCUGAACCAGCCAAGCCGCGUGAAGGAAGAAGGCGCCAAGCGUCGUAAACUUUUUUUGUCGGGGAACAAAGGGCGCCACGUGUGGCGUUGUGAGUGUACCCGAAGAAAAAGCAUCGGCUAACUCCGUGCCAGCAGCCGCGGUAAUACGGAGGAUGCGAGCGUUAUCCGGAUUUAUUGGGUUUAAAGGGUGCGUAGGCGGACUGUCAAGUCAGCGGUAAAAUACGGGGGCUCAACCUCCGCCCGCCGUUGAAACUGA